GGAUUGUGGCUUAGUGGUAGAGCUCUUGCUUAGCACAUGCGAGGCCCUGGGUUUGAUUCUCAGCACCA
rnacentral:tRNA from 1 species